GUAGGUGGCAAGUGUUGUCCGGGAAUUAUUGGGGCGUAAAGCGCGCGCAGGUGGUUCUUUAAGUCUGAUGUGAAAGCCCCCGGGCUCAACCGGGGGAGGGUCAUUGGAAACUGGGGAACUUGAGUGCAGGAGAGGAAAGUGGAAUUCCACGUGUGGCGGUGAAAUGCGUAGAUAUGUGGAGGAACACCAGUGGCGAAGGCGACUUUCUGGCCUGUAACUGACACUGAGGCGCGAAAGCGUGGGGAGCAAACAGGAUUAGAUACCCUGGUAGUCCACGCCGUAAACGAUGAGUGCUAAGUGUUGGGGGGUUUCCGCCCCUCAGUGCUGCAGCUAACGCAUUAAGCACUCCGCCUGGGGAGUACGGUCGCAAAGACUGA
rnacentral:rRNA from 1 species